rnacentral:rRNA from 1 species
AGAGUUUGAUCAUGGCUCAGGAUGAACGCUAGCUACAGGCUUAACACAUGCAAGUCGAGGGGAAACGACAUCGAAAGCUUGCUUUUGAUGGGCGUCGACCGGCGCACGGGUGAGUAACGCGUAUCCAACCUGCCCACCACUUGGGGAUAACCUUGCGAAAGUAAGACUAAUACCCAAUGACGUCUCUAGAAGACAUCUGAAAGAGAUUAAAGAUUUAUCGGUGAUGGAGUGGGGAUGCGUCUGAUUAGCUUGUUGGCGGGGUAACGGCCACCAAGGCUACGAUCAGUAGGGUUCUGAGAGGAAGGUCCCCCACAUUGGAACUGAGACACGGUCCAAACUCCUACGAGGCA